rnacentral:lncRNA from 1 species
UUUUUUUUUUUUUUUUUUUUUGAGAAUCUCCCCGCAACCUUAACGAGUUUUACUCCGAAAGAAGUGGUCCAGUGCCAUCCUGUGCUGUUCAGUGAUACAGCAUAUGUUUUUAUAGUUAAAGACUUCGGUGUAGCUAAAGAAAGAGUGAUAGCCCGUGAUUGCUUUUGUCAGCCCUUGUACCUCUUUCUGACAGCUAGACUUCCUUUGGGACAACCUCCAAAGAAAAAUGCAUUUCAGUACUGUUUGUGAUGUGUUAUGUCUUAAGCUAGAUGUACUGACUUUUAUUAAUUAGAGCUAUAUUUUCGUGUUGUAAAUAACUUUUGUGGCUUUUAGGCUGUAAAUUAAGAAAGAAAAGACCUUUGAUUAUAUUGAAAGUUUUACAAACAUCAAAGGCUAUUUUCCUUAUAGAUUUUCUAUUUCUGGUACUGCAAAUUUCUUUAGGCCAGUCUUAAAUUUACCUUAAUAAUUCGAGUAAUUUACUAUAACAUUUAAAACAACUAUAAUAACAAAAUAUUACUAGCUUUUUACUGUGGUAGAAUAGUGAUACAAUUUUGUAUAUUUGGUUAAACUUAGACAAACUUAAAAUCCAUUUCAAAGAUUGUUAUGUUGAGUGUACCAGGUCAGUGAGAGACUAAUGAUAUUCUCCACAGACGUGAAAAAACACUCCUAUCUAUAUGAAGAAUAUUAUUUAUUAUUUUAUGCUUUUAUCCCACUACUGUCUUUCCCUGGUGCUUUUGAGUACCAUCAAGUAAGCUAACGUUUCUUCAUUACUUUAGAUUAUGAUAGUCUUACCCAAACUGUUGUUCAGGGGGAUGAUCUAGAAACCUGCCUGGUCCACUGACUCUUUCAGUUGAGGGAGACACCUGGUAUUGUUACCAUUUUCUUGUCAUAUCUGUAUGUUUAGCAGUUUGGGGGAUACAUACAAAAUACACUUUUUUCCAAGUAUUCAGGUUUUAACUUUUCGAAGGAGGAAAUCAGUUUUAGUCUUAAGGUUUGAGGUUGGAAAUAGAGUGUAUCUGGAAAAUAGUUACUAGUGUCCUCUGGUUGGUCUUUUCUUCCUUUCUUUCUCUCUUUCAAGUUGUGCUUGCCUAUAUCAUUCUGUGUCUGUCCCAAACAAAGGCCUUGCUUUGCAUUUAUUAAAUAGCACAGAAAAUGUUUGGGAAAGAACUAAACCAUGUUAUCAAACUAUAUCCAUAUUUAGCAUUCAAUAUUUAUAGUAAAUAUGUUUUAUUUGGGGUUGCUUUCAACCUGUUGGUUGCUUUCAGCAAUGAUGAUCAGAAUAUUCACAAAUUAUUCUGGGUCAGGACCAUGGACAAAUACAUAAUAUGAUUAAAAUUAUGCAUUCAGCUUAUGUUGGAAUAGCUAAUUCCAACAUACGUGGGAAAUCCACAGCAUUAUAAGGUUGGCUACAUUUUUUUGGUAUUUUUGUUGUUUUUAAAGAUUCAUUUAUUGUUAUAUGUGAGUACACUGUAGCUGUCUUCAGACACACUAGAAGAAGUCAUCGGAUCUCGUUGAGGAUGGUUGUGAGCCACCAUGUUGCUGGGAUUUGAACUCAGGACCUUUGGAAGAGCAGUCAGUGCUCUUACCCGCUGAGCCAUCUCACCAGCCCGGUUGACUACAUUGUUAUCAUAAAGGAGGAUUAAACUUAAACAGGCUGAGCACACAGAAGGAUAGUGGCUAAGUACAUAGUAUUAAAUGUUCUUGAGCAUGUUAGUAGCUUGGCUGAAAGAACUAGCAAAAGUUCAGUCUCUUCAAAGAUGGAAUAUUGUCGUAAAACUCCACAGUUUUCAUCUUAGUCUCUUGAUUUGCAGUAGUUUAUAUUAGCAUCGAUGAGGAUACAUGCUUAAUAAGAAACACGCAACCCAACUAAGUAUGUACAGCCUGGCUGUAAACAUUAGGUUAAGGCGAGAGCCAAGUGUUUUUGGAAAGUAUUGAGGAACUGGGAGACUUUCUGUAAGUUUAUAUCUGUCAGUUGCAAACAUACCAAGACUUUAGAAGAGCAUCCAGAUUAAGGAGGAUUCUGUAGUGAUCAUCUUAGCCAUCUCUCCACACAACCAACCUCCAGUGUUUGUAGAGACUAUGCUAAUGUUCUCUCAAGCCGGGAGUUCUCAUUUUACUAAUUGAGUACAUUCUCUUCUUGCCAUAACUCCUCUUGAAAGGAUUAGUAAUUUGUAUGCUUAAAUGAGACACAGUUUCAACUAAGGUGGUACAUAAAUAAACCUAGAGCCAAAUGUUAUCUCAGUGAAGUACAGAGACAUGUGGAGUUUAAUGCCUUUUGUAUCAUUUCUACAUUUGUCUUGAUGGUAAUUUUGCUUUGUGCAGAGAAUUCUUGUAAUCAAAAUUAAUAAAAAUUAGUUUGUUUGCUUUGAUACCAUAAGGGUAAAUUGGUUCAACUUCAAUAAAAGGAAUCUAUUUAUUGUGUCUGCCUUUUUUCUAGUUUGUGGAAAGAUAGCCCACUCCAUAAUUAAAUUCCAGAAAGAAGUUGUCAAGAACAAGUAUCGUGGCAGGUCCUAUAUACACUUUUUACGUCAUACCUUUUAAAACACCAUUUUUGGCUAUACCAACAGUGAGGCCAUUUUCUUCUAACAGCGGCAUUUAAUCUAACCCUUCCCUCACUGUAAGGUGUUUUAUGUCAAAGAAAUGUGUCUUAUUAAUGUGUUUUAGGUUUAUUCAUUGCCUAGUGUAUUUUAGUAUUUAGUAUGGAAAUGUGAUUUCAAUAUGAACUAGUGGAAAGAACUUGGUGAUAAUUUGUAUUUAAAAAUCAGAUUGUGUUUUACAAAAGUGCUGUUUUGAGAAGAUAUCUUAGAAUAUAAUCAAACACUUAAGUUCUUAUAUCAUUGUUAAGUAGAUUAGAUAGGCAAUUCAAUUUUAUUAUCAGGCCAUGUAUGAAGUUACAUACUUUAUUUAAAAUCAUCCACAUUACCAUGUAAUUUGCUUUAUUCAAUUACAGCAUCAUUGAUAAUUAAAUCAACACUUAAAGCAAUUAAAGCAUUACAUUAAAUUCCAUUUAACAACCUAUUGACACUUGAUGAUAUGUUAGUAUUGGCUUACCAUCUUUCAAUGGUAAUUAUGUACAUACAUAGUUCAAUCUUUAUCUUGAUUUAUAAAUCUGCUUUUCAGACUUUCUCACAAAGUAUACAGAAGGAUUUCCAAGAGUCCAGAGCUGUUACUGCUAGUAGGGAAUCUUUUGCUCUACCUGGAUAGGAAUCCUGAAUAGGCAAAGAGUCUAUUGCCAGCAAUGCUGGAUUCUGGAGUACCCAAGACUUAGGGUCUGGACUGAUGUAUGAUGAGCCCCAGGCACUAGAGCCCUAUUGAUCAAGCUUUGACUUUAACCCAAGACAGCUCUCCCAGCCAGGCCUUCAGGCUAGAGGCUGAAUGGAUGCUCCUGAUUUUAACUGCCAGUGGCCACAGCACUUGGCAGCUUUGGUGAUCUGGUUCAGAGGUAAGCAGUACUGUUAGUCUUCUAGCUCGUUACAGGGUUAGGGUGUCAGAACCCUUGACUCCACAGCAGUGGCUAGAGCCUGAAGAUGAAUGGGGUCUUCAUCCUGUUGACAGUUGUCCAAAGAGGUUGAGUCUCAGCUGUUUGGCAGCUUCCUGGGACUCUUUAAACAGCUGGAACCCCCUUUUGGCUCUCACCUCUGUUAGCUCUAGAACCCUUCAGGUCUCCUUACUACUGACACUGCUUCUGGCUUUGUCUCCACCUCCACUUGGAAUUGACUUUGUGUGUGUUGCCAACUAAGCCCGUUCUAAUAAAUGUAAGAGAAGAGGACACUGGGGAAACCUAUUGUUGGGUAAUGAUGCAGGUGAUAGUAUAGGGAUGUCUCUUAGAUGGCUCACAAAGGUUGUACUUCAGCUGUGUUUCAUUCACAGCAAUCCACACAAACAAGGAAAAUGUUUGUGCUAGUCAGGGCUAAGCUCCUUAUGUAAAUGCUUAUACCAUCCCAGGCCUUUAGCUGGACCAAAGGGGGUUGGGGGGGGGGGAAUGCUCCCUCCUGGCCUGGGUUGGAACAACUGUGGGGUCAUGAAGAGUUCAUCAGAGCUUGUGAUGGCAAAGAGUCUGGAGGUUGUACUUCAACAAGCAGGUUAGUUGACUAAAGCUUUGUCAAAGCUCCUGUGUUUAGAAUAGAGUGUUCAAAACAAUUGGUAGUGGCAAUAUGCACUCAGCUGACUGCUCACAAUAGUGAUGGCACUAGGGAAGAGUCUAAUAGUUGUCUAAUUAGAGAGUCG